GGAAUUUUGGACAAUGGGGGAAACCCUGAUCCAGCCAUCCCGCGUGUGCGAUGAAGGCCUUCGGGUUGUAAAGCACUUUUGGCAGGAAAGAAACGUCGCGGGUUAAUACCUCGCGAAACUGACGGUACCUGCAGAAUAAGCACCGGCUAACUACGUGCCAGCAGCCGCGGUAAUACGUAGGGUGCAAGCGUUAAUCGGAAUUACUGGGCGUAAAGCGUGCGCAGGCGGUUCGGAAAGAAAGAUGUGAAAUCCCAGAGCUUAACUUUGGAACUGCAUUUUUAACUACCGGGCUAGAGUGUGUCAGAGGGAGGUGGAAUUCCGCGUGUAGCAGUGAAAUGCGUAGAUAUGCGGAGGAACACCGAUGGCGAAGGCAGCCUCCUGGGAUAACACUGACGCUGAGGCGCGAAAGCUAGGGUAGCAAACGGGA
rnacentral:misc_RNA from 1 species